CUUUUCCCUUGUGCGUCUCCUGGAGCCACUGUCUCAGUCGGAUCAGGCAGCUCUCCUGCAUCGGCGUCAGCUGUCCGAGAUUUCCACAUGGCUGGAUUUUGUGGGACAUCGGUGUUGGAGUGCAAUUUUGUGGGGACAAGCCCAGGAGAAGAGGUGCUCCUUCAAGCUGGAUUUGAACCGGCAGCCUAAGGAUGGCCAUCAGCACAGCUCUACAGUCCGCCACACUACCAACUGAGCUAUCGAGGGUAAGCGCAUUCAUUGCAUGUGAGUCACCUUAAAGUACCUGUGAUCAACAAGCUCUCAGUAGGAGGGUGUGCUUUUAGCUACAGAGCACAUAAACUCUGGAACAGAACGGUUUCAGCCUUUAAAUCCUGGCUAAAGACUUACAUGUUAAAUCUGGCAUAUCAAUAAUCAGUGUAAUUCCAGUUGGCUGUGCUUCUUUCCUUGUAUAUUAACCUCUCUAACCUCUUUAAGGUCAUCAUUUACUAACAAUUUCUCUCUUGUUGAGCAUUGUUUCCCUAUAAGACAAGACCUGAGGAGACCGGUCGUCAUUCCGACACUCCAUGCUGACUGAAGCUGAUGACCGCCUGCCUUGAUCUAUGAGACUGAUCAGGCAGGCAUGCGCAAAGUUGAGGGAACGUUGCAUCACUCAACUGGACAUUUUUCACAGCAGAAACCAGUUUCAAAAUAAGCAGCGCUCAUGAACCUGAUGUCAGGACCGCCAUUGCCGGCAGCGCUGAUACCUGACAAAUGCAAGACUUUUAAUUAAGCUGAAGACAGUUCAACCCGUCUCCUGACUUCUUACUGACAACGGACAUUAAACACAAGCAGCCAUAUAGAGAGGCCUGCUGUCAGAGGGCUGCACGGAUACGGGAAAAGGCUGCGUCUUUCGCCGAUCUUCUGUUAGCUGCAGCACAGAGUUUAAUCUAAAACUGUCACUGCAAGAUCUUUAUACCCUGGAACUUUGGAAGCACUAAUGGCUUGUAUAAACUUUAUGUUACAAUUUGCCUUACGCAGCAAAGUAUUCUUACCUGAAUCGGUCCAGGUUCACUACCCAUCUCACGGGUCCUUCAAGCGGAAGGCGACGGCUCUGACCGCUACACCCCCCGCCGCCCCACAUGUGCUUUACGGUUUUGCACUGGGAACCGAGCCCCGCCAGUUUGCGUGAAAUGAACUGGAGAGAUGUUCUUGCGAGCGAGUGUUUUUUUUUCCCCCAAAUAUUUCUCAGUCGGAACAGCAAGCAAAAUGAUAUUGCACAAUCCUGUGGCUUACGGAUGCAUGCUGUUCCCUUUAAGAUUAUUAAAGUCACUCUCGGGAGCAUUAUCGUGUCCAUGUGUCUAUUUCACAUCUUUGUGGAAGUGUUAUGAGAGGAGAAAAGUGGGUCAGUGUUUCCU